UGUUAAAAUGAUUUAUAUGCUUACAGUUUGGUCGUUAACUAUUUAUAGUGUGCACAAGCAGAACAUCUGCCAGACAUGCAACACGGACAGACGCAGCAGGAACCAAAAGCAUCAUUUCCUCCACUCAAAUACACAAAAGGAGAAUUCCACAGACACACGUAAAAGUGACUACGGUUGUCAUGGGGACAACCAAGCAGUUCUUCAGUUUCGGGAGAAGCUGAAUCAAGUGAGAGAUUCUCCAGGAAUAACUGCGACAAUAACUCGAACAUUGAUGCUCCCUCAUGUGGACCCAAGCUUUACCGCGGAUGUGAAUCUUGAAUAUGAGACUGGACUCAUGUGCCUGGAAACAAAUAUAUGGAACAAUUUCAAAAUUUAUUUGGCGACCCACAAUAAGAUAUUUGGCAACUCACUGUUUGGGAAAUUACUCGUAUGAAGAAUGACUUUUAUCUGUGUGGAAGGGGAGUGCCAAUGUGUGAAAUCUCACACUAAUGGCUCCUAUAAUGUUUAUUUAAAGAAGAUGCUGCUUUCUUGUGACGAAAGUCCUCUAUUUUCCACCACAGCCCCAUGAGCCACACCAUACAUGGCACAGCCAUGACCCAAACAACCUGUGAGCUAAUCAGCUCCGCUGUGAAACAGAGCUUUUCUAAAGGCCGAGCAGAACUUUUCACCCCCCACAAAAGAGUCAUUGUUGAUCUGACUGACGUGUGGGCCGACUGAAAAGAACUGUGUUUGUGGUGCAGAGGAGAUGGCAUAUCAUCAGAGAGGACUUCUGAAGAACUGCCAUCGUUCCGGUAGUUUAAAAAGAGCUGAGGAUUCGGAACAUCAAUAAAGCAGUAAAGAAGUAUUUGCUUUGUUAAGUCAUAGUGGAAUAAAGUCUUCCUCCGGAGAUAAGUUGUUCUAGUUCUGUGUGAGCAAUGAAACUACUCUCACGUUACCCCUUGAUGUAAACUCUGUUAGCUCGGUUAGCACUUUCGCCAUUGUUUGACAUGUUAGCGCCGUAAGAUGUGAGCUAACGUUAAUUCUGUGUGAGCAAUGACACUACUCUCACGUUACUCCUUAAUGUAAACCCUGUUAGCUCUGUUAGCACUUUCGCCAUUGUUUGACCUGUUAGCGCUGUGAGCUAACAUUAAUUCUGUGUGAGCAAUGAAACUACUCUCGCGUUACCCCUUAAUGUAAACCCUGUUAGCACUUUCACCAUUGACAUUUGACCUCUUAGCGUCGUAAGAUGUUAGCUAACGUUAAUUCUGUGUGAGCAAUGAAACUACUCUCACGCUACCCCUUAAUGUAAACCCUGUUAGCUCUGUUAGCACUUUCACCAUUGUUUGACCUGUUAGCGCUGUGAGCUAACAUUAAUUCUGUGUGAGCAAUGAAACUACUCUCGCGUUACCCCUUAAUGUAAACCCUGUUAGCACUUUCACCAUUGACAUUUGACCUGUUAGCGUCGUAAGAUGUUAGCUAACGUUAAUUCUGUGUGAGCAAUGAAACUACUCUCACGCUACCCCUUAAUGUAAACCCUGUUAGCUCUGUUAGCACUUUCACCAUUGUUUGACCUGUUAGCGCUGUGAGCUAACAUUAAUUCUGUGUGAGCAAUGAAACUACUCUCGCGUUACCCCUUAAUGUAAACCCUGUUAGCACUUUCACCAUUGACAUUUGACCUGUUAGCGCCGUAAGAUGUGAGCUAACGUUAAUUCUGUGUGAGCAAUGAAACUACUCUCAUGCUACCUCUUAAUGUAAACCCUGUUAGCUCUGUGAGCACUUUAACCGGUUAGCUGUUAGCGCCGUAAGAUGUGAGCCUCAGGCUUGCAGUCGCCAUGUUGAGGGCCGUUGAGAGGCAAUCGAAAAUAACUCGAGGUUUAGGGGACUGAAAUGAAAUUCAAAGUCACUGCAAUUCCUGAACAGAGCAAACAAACAUGCCCGAAAUUCAGCCCUCAGUGAGCAGUGUGCGAUGUCUUGAGCGCUUUGAAUGACAUCACAACAGCCUUUGUAUCCAGGCAAACGCCCACAACGAAUUUACAAGCCGCCUCCGCUCCUCGCUGUCAUUUCCCCAAAGGAGCCCAACAAACCACCCCACCGGGCCCGAGAAUGUUCCAGCGUUGGCAGCCGUUUGAGUACCGCUCAACGAACCUGGCAUCUGCUUUGCAUUUUGAUCGGGAACAAACGGUCCAAACGUCACCGAAAAUCCCCACUCUGUGUAGUAAUGAAACGAUUACUGCAUGCAGCAAUUCGAUGCCUUGAAGGCAUGCGUGUCUUUGGAAAUGUCCGUUUUAGUUUGAUAAUAUGCAACAAACAACAAAGUACAUUUCCAUGAUUACAGCUGCCAAUUAACACACACACAGCUAUUUGUCAAGCGAGUAUCGUGGGGUCAAAAUCCCUGCAGAGCAUGUUACGUGUUUGCAAAUACUUGCCUGUGUUGUUUUCCCAUUAAUUUUUCAUCAACUCCUCUUGUCUGCUGUCAUUCUGGUGUUUUUUGAUAGGGCCAGAUGAAAUUAGCCUCCUGCAUAAUUGAUGUUUGUAAUGUUCAGGCACAUGUUUUCGGAGGGGGGGGGGGGUGUCUAUAAUUCAAAGUGUAACUCUGCAGUCAAAUCCUUUUUCAACACAGGAAAAUGAUGCAUAAUCUGAAAUGCUCCUUCAAAGCGGCACGCUGCGGUAUUCCUUUUUCAUUUUCUCAUAAAGGAUUUUCUGAAAGGUUAUUCCAGCACAGCAAAUGUACUCACAUAUAAGAAAAUACAACAAAGAAAGGCGUUACGCAAUGUAUUCAUAGCUUAAGUGUUUACAGCCUCACAAAACAAAGGCAGAAUUACUGUACCGUAACAUUAUAAAAUCACUUCAACAAAAAUAAUUACCGUAAAAUAACUGUGCAGUGGUGAACAAAUAAUUGAAUGGAACCGGGUCGGUUCUCCUCAUCCUUCUUCUUUUCUCCUUCUGAUUGUCUGUGUUGAAUGUGAGAAACGGCUCGUAGUGUUUAACAAGAAGGGAUUUGCUGAAAUCGCAAGCAAAGAGUAGAAAGAGUAGAAAAUGCUUUUACGCUCUUGGUGCCUUUUGUCCAAGUCAAGUUUACCAAAGUCAGGGUCUGGUGCUUUUGUCUUGGUGUAACUUAUGUCCAUAAAGACCAGAGAACAUUUAAACCCGUAAUCUUUGUUGUGUCUUUAUCCAAAUAAUUCAUAUUAUAUGAAGGCCUUGAUGUGCUGAGUUCACAUUAAGUGCAGACCUGUUACAAUAUGAUGUGUUUUUCUUCCUUUGUUGAGUGAAUGUCUACACACAAUGACGAAUGAGCCUAUGGUCCGCUGAUUGUAAUAUUUGCAAACUGUCUGGGGGAGACAUUCCUGGACGCAUGCUGCAUUUCAGUUUUUCCUCCGUGGAUAUGGAUAAUAAAAAGCAAACACACACACACAUUUAUGAAAACUUGAAGCUGAUGUACCAACGGAAAGAGAGCAAUGCCACUCAGGAUUUAAAUCCUCAUUAGUUGAGUCAUUAUCUUCAUCGCGAGUGUCAUUUGAGAACACACACUUGAACCUCGUCUUGUGUCUCUUUCACAGGGAUUAUGUCUGAGAUGUCUCAGCAGCGACCGCCAAAGGAGGAGGAAGAGGACGAGGACGAGGAGCAAGGGGAAGAGUUCUCGUUUGAGGACAGUGUGGAGGAAGAGAAGCUUCCGGAGGAGGGUGGAGGGGUGACCUCUGACCCCGUCGGAGCAUCGCCUCCUGCUGCACAGGAGGGCAUCUGCACUGAGGACGGCGCGCCAGCUCCCGCUGAGGGCGUUCCGGUUAACGAGUCGGCCAGCGGGACCUCGGAAGCCGAGCCCGGGACCUCAUCUCUCUCUCGUGUGGGGGAGGAGCUCCACGAGCUUCCCGCGGAGACGCCAUCCGCGGAGACGCCAGCGGUGGAGACGCCAUCCGCGGAGACGCCAGCGGUGGAGACGCCGAAGGGAUCGGGAGACCGAGGCCUGGAAAGCUCGGACGCC
ensembl:lncRNA